rnacentral:precursor_RNA from 15 species
GCCUGCCAGCAAAAUUUUUAGUCUAUGGGCUCUGCAUGAUGGGUCUUUUAAAGGUUUUUUUUAAUAUAUAUUUUUAAAAGAGCCGUCUUGCAAAAUUCAAGGGCUAAAUAAGCAACGAAGCGUGUG